UGUGUACUCCCUCCGUUCCAAAAUACUUGACUUCCAUUUGUCCAAAAAUGGAUGUACCUAUAUAGUAAAACAUGUCUAGAUACAUCUAUAUUUUGACAAAUAGAAGGCAUGUAUUGUGGAACGGAGGGAGUAGAAU
rnacentral:pre_miRNA from 1 species